rnacentral:ncRNA from 19 species
AACAGAAUGGUUCGUUGUGGUCGCCCCUCGGGGGCGAGCAAGAGGGAACACGGUGAAAAUCCGUGACAGUCGCCGCUACUGUGAGGAUGGCGAAAUCCAACGGCAGCUUCGCUGCCGCCACUGGGCAUCUGGGCCUGGGAAGGCGGGUUGGAGAGUAGGGAGACAUCCGAGUCAGGAGACCUGCCGCAACAGGGUGUAUGAGU